rnacentral:RNase_P_RNA from 1 species
GAAGAUAAUCAGACGAUCACCCUCCCGAUGAUUCGGGGGGAAGGAAAGUCCGAACACCAGGAGCGCAAUACUACGUAAUACGUAGUUCCAGUGAUGGAAAGAAAGUGCCACAGAAAAGAAACCGUCCGCCAGCUGGCGGAUAAGGGUGAAAAGGCGGUGUAAGAGACCACCAGUGCUAAUGGUGACAUCAGCAGCUCGGUAAACCUUAUUGGUGCAAGGUCAAAUAGAAGAGAAAUUCGCCUUAGGCGGAUACGAACUGCUCCAUUCGUCAUACUCUCGGGUAGACCGCAGAACUCAGUCACAGAAAAGACUGUGAAUUUUCUUCGGAAAAUACUGUGAAGUCUGAGUAAGAUAAAUGAUCGUCGUCCUGAACUUGUACUUCAGGAGACAGAAUUCGGCUUAUUAUUAUCUUCCGCA